CGCAGAACAGUCAGGCAUGGUUCCCCGUGCCCGCGCCAAGCGCCCGGGGGAUCAAAUGGGAAUGUGGAACGGUCCGAUCCAAACCGGAGGACCAAAGCCUCAGCCGCCCCCGCGACUGUAUGCGGAGAGGGAGAUCGACAUGCCACUGGGGCCCGCCCCGGGAAGGCCGAUCCACCCCGAUGACCCGCGAGCCAGGAGACCAGCCAUGCGCGACACCCUUAG
rnacentral:ncRNA from 2 species